rnacentral:rRNA from 1 species
AGUGAACGCUGGCGGUAGGCCUAACACAUGCAAGUCGAACGGCAGCACAGGAGAGCUUGCUCUCUGGGUGGCGAGUGGCGGACGGGUGUGGAAUACAUCGGAAUCUACUUUUUCGUGGGGGAUAACGUAGGGAAACUUACGCUAAUACCGCAUACGACCUACGGGUGAAAGCAGGGGACCUUCGGGCCUUGCGCGAUUGAAUGAGCCGAUGUCGGAUGAGCUAGUUGGCGGGGUAAAGGCCCACCAAGGGGACGAUCCGUAGCUGGUCUGAGAGGAUGAUCAGCCACACUGGAACUGAGACACGGUCCAGACUGCUACGGGAGGCAGCAGUGGGGAAUAUUGGACAAUGGGCGCAAGCCUGAUCCAGCCAUACCGCGUGGGUGAAGAAGGCCUUCGGGUUGUAAAGCCCUUUUGUUGGGAAAGAAAUCCAGCUGGCUAAUACCCGGUUGGGAUGACGGUACCCAAAGAAUAAGCACCGGCUAACUUCGUGCCAGCCGCCGCCGUAA